rnacentral:rRNA from 1 species
AGUGAGGAAUUUUGCGCAAUGGGGGAAACCCUGACGCAGCAACGCCGCGUGAGUGAAGAAGGCCUUCGGGUCGUAAAGCUCUGUCAAGUGGGAAGAACCUUGGGUGCGAAUAGCCGUGCACUGACGGUACCUCCGAAGGAAGCACCGGCUAACUCCGUGCCAGCAGCCGCGGUAAUACGGAGGGUGCAAGCGUUGUCCGGAAUUACUGGGCGUAAAGCGUGCGUAGGCGGUUGCGUGCGUCGGUGCUGAAAGCGCCCCGCUUAACGGGGCGAGGCGUGCCGAUACGACGCGACUCGAGGCAGUGAGAGGUUGGUGGAAUUCCGGGUGUAGUUGUGAAAUGCGUAGAUACCCGGAGGAAUGUCGGUGGCGCAAGCGGCCAACUGGCACUGACCUGACGCUGAGGCACGAAAGCGUGGGGAGCGAACAGGAUUAGAUACCCUGGUAGUCCACGCUGUAAACGAUGUAUGCUAGUUGUUGGUCCUUUAGGGCCAGUGACGCAGUUAACGCAGUAAGCAUACCACCUGGGGAGUACGUCGGCAACGAUGAAACU